CAGUAGCCGCGGGAAUACGGAGGGUGCAAGCGUUAAUCGGAAUUACUGGGCGUAAAGCGCACGCAGGCGGUUUGUUAAGUCAGAUGUGAAAUCCCCGAGCUUAACUUGGGAACUGCAUUUGAAACUGGCAAGCUAGAGUCUUGUAGAGGGGGGUAGAAUUCCAGGUGUAGCGGUGAAAUGCGUAGAGAUCUGGAGGAAUACCGGUGGCGAAGGCGGCCAUCUGGGACAACACUGACGCUGAGGCACGAAAGCGUGGGGAGCAAACAGGAUUAGAUACCCGAGUAGUCCCUGUCUCUUAUAC
rnacentral:rRNA from 1 species